rnacentral:rRNA from 1 species
AGUAAUGUCUGGGAAACUGCCUGAUGGAGGGGGAUAACUGCUGGAAACGGUAGCUAAUACCGCAUAACGUCGCAAGACCAAAGUGGGGGACCUUCGGGCCUCAUGCCAUAAGAUGUGCCCAGAUGGGAUUAGCUAGUAGGUGGGGUAACGGCUCACCUAGGCGACGAUCCCUAGCUGGUCUGAGAGGAUGGCCAGCCACACUGGAACUGAGACACGGUCCAG